rnacentral:rRNA from 1 species
CAGUAGCCACGGGAAUACGAAGGGUGCAAGCGUUACUCGGAAUUACUGGGCGUAAAGCGUGCGUAGGUGGUGGUUUAAGUCCGUUGUGAAAGCCCUGGGCUCAACCUGGGAAUUGCAGUGGAUACUGGGUCACUAGAGUGUGGUAGAGGAUAGUGGAAUUUCCGGUGUAGCAGUGAAAUGCGUAGAGAUCGGAAGGAACAUCUGUGGCGAAGGCGACUAUCUGGGCCAACACUGACACUGAGGCACGAAAGCGUGGGGAGCAAACAGGAUUAGAUACCCGAGUAGUCCCUGUCUCUUAUAC